GCCGAGGGAGGUGGCACAUGCCUAUACUCCACUACUUGGGAGGCUGAGGCCGGAGGAUCAGUGGGAGCCCAGCAGUGUUGGGCUAUAGUGCACUAUGGCUAUUGAGUGUCCACACUCUGUCUGGAUCAAUAUGGUGAUCUCAUAGGAGCCAGAGACCACCAGCUAGCUUACGGAGGGGUGAACUGGCCCAAGUGCUAAAUGGAACAGAUUCAAACUCCAGUGUUUAUCAUUAGUGGGAUCACACCUGUGAAUAGCCACUGCACCCUGGCCUGAGCAACAUAGUGAGACCCUGUCUCCU
rfam:Otolemur garnettii contig001864, whole genome shotgun sequence.